GGAUCAAUUGAUUGGUCAUGCCUUGGUAUGUACUGGUCAUAUUGGUUCUCACCUUCUAAUGAACCAUAAUGUCAUUUAUUUGAUGUUAUGGGGAAUUAGGACUGUUACCUUGAAAAAAUUAGAGUGUUUAAAGCAGGCAAGCGCUUGAAUACAUUAGCAUGGAAUAAUGAAAUAGGACGU
rnacentral:rRNA from 1 species